GCAGCCUGUCGCCCUCCUUCCAGCCAACAGGGCCAGCCUUGCAUCUUGGGGAUCCAGGACCCAUGUCUACUCAUGCCACUCUAGCUGGAAGAAGGACCAUCGAUCCAGCUCUAAGCAGCACUGUAUGUGGACCCCUCCUUUCCUGGUGGACAGCUGAGGCCCAACAAAAAUGAGACUUACAAGUCCAGGUGGAGCCAAGCUGAAGGGAAGGAAACUGCCUACUAAACCAGACGUCAAGGUGGACAUC
rnacentral:lncRNA from 1 species